CCCAAAUCCAACAUUUUAGUAAGAUUUGUACUGACUCAAAAUUCACCCAUGAACCCUGACUCUAAAAUUAGUAUUGUCUCAAAGUUCAAUAAGAUUUGCUCAUUGUUGCGCAGUACUGAAUCAUGGAUUAUAUUGUGGCUCUGCAGGUCUAGCCCAUCGACGACGAUGGCUCCUCCUCAUGCUCAUCGGACUCGUGCACAAGUGCUCUGCAAGUCUGCAUUGGGAAGCAGAUACAGUUUUUCUUGGUGGGCGUGGUUUUGGAACAGCCAUGUCUUCUCUAAUUUUGACAGUGCUUGAGUUUAGAGUAUGGUUAUACUUUUGCUUAGGCAGGGUAAUUGCUUUUCUUACUGGUGCUCCUGAUUAUGAAGAUGGUCAACUAGACACUAAGAGAUAUGGUGAGCAAUAUGCUAGCAAAGGGGAAGAUGUUGACCUCAUGUUGCUCCCUGAGCAG